GACGAACGCUGGCGGCGUGCUUAACACAGGCAAGUCGAACGGUAAGGCCCUUCGGGUACGACGAGUGGCGAACGGGUGAGUAACACGUGGGUGAUCUGCCCUGCACUUCGGGAUAAGCUUGGGAAACUGGGUCUAAUACCGGAUAGGACCAUGGUCUGCAUGGAUUGUGGUGGAAAGCUUUUGCGGUGUGGGAUGGGCCCGCGGCCUAUCAGCUUGUUGGUGGGGUGAUGGCCUACCAAGGCGACGACGGGUAGCCGGCCUGAGAGGGUGUCCGGCCACACUGGGACUGAGAUACGGCCCAGACUCCUACGGGAGGCAGCAGUGGGGAAUAUUGCACAAUGGGCGCAAGCCUGAUGCAGCGACGCCGCGUGGGGGAUGACGGCCUUCGGUUGGUAACCUACUUCUAGCAGGGACGAAGGGUAGGAC
rnacentral:rRNA from 1 species